rnacentral:rRNA from 1 species
UACGUAGGGUCCGAGCGUUGUCCGGAAUCAUUGGGCGUAAAGAGCGUGUAGGCGGCUCGGUAAGUCCGCUGUGAAAGUCCAGGGCUCAACCCUGGAAUGCCAGUGGAAACUGUCGAGCUAGAGUCCGGAAGAGGCGAGUGGAAUUCCUGGUGUAGCGGUGAAAUGCGCAGAUAUCAGGAGGAACACCAAUUGCGAAGGCAGCUCGCUGGGACGUUACUGACGCUGAGACGCGAAAGCGUGGGGAGCAAACAGG